rnacentral:lncRNA from 1 species
GGACAGGGAGGCAGAAGAGAGGACAUGCUGAAGAAUGAAGGUGGACAAACGUAAGUAGUACUUGGCACAAUUCAGAUUUUCUUUGUUAUUGCAUUACAGGAUUGUAGGGUGUUCGGAUUUUAAAUGCUGGCAUUGAUCGAGGUGUUUGGGUUUUAGUUCUGAUUAGAUGUGUAUCAGGUUUUAGUUCUGAUGAGAUACAGAAAUUGUUGAGACAGGGCAUGAAUAGUAUAUAUUUUAGCCGUGCUUUUAUUCCCUUUUGCUCUUUCCAAAGGGACUACUCUACUUUUCUGUUAACCAUUAGUAAUAUAUUUUUCAGAGCCGGAUCCAUUUAUUAAAUGAGGAGAGGUGUAUGAGACAAAUAAAAAUGUAUCGAACUAUGGUUCAUGACUUUAUGCGAAGGAUUCUAAGUGAGCAAGUCAUUUUACUGGGGCUAAUGAACACAUACCACAAUUUGCAGAGUACUUUGCUUUUCUGGUUGUUUUGCUAAGAGACUGUUAAUGAUAAAUCAGAUGUUUUCCUUUCUUUAGUAUGCUUAGCAAUAAUAUUUUACGUUGGCUAUUAAAUUGGACUUCUUUCUGGUUACAUGAUUCCUCUUAUAAUUACAGAUCUUCGUUUAUUUACAAUAUUCUAAGGCUACUAAGGUUACACAUUUGUUCUACAGUUCGCAGUGAGAACAAGCUAUUUCUGAUGGCUCUGUCCUAUUAUUGUUCACGUGUUUGCUUUCAAAUAUUUUGAGUGCUCAUAUCAACAAAACUAUUGAUUAUGGGCUAUUGUGUCUGUCAGCAGGUGCACAUGAACAGCAAGGCAUGUUUGGCGUCGUACUUGACCGUGCUACAGAACAACAUCUUGUGGUUCUACCCAAGGGUUGACGCCGAGCACCGGGGCGUACUGCAGGAGUAGCGCCAUGCGUCCUUUGUCAACGUCCAUAGCAUCAAGGACCUCCUCACGCCCCUGUGCAGAUGGCGCUCGCUCGUGAUCACAGGAAACCGAACGACGCAUGUGCCCGUUGUCUGUCAGCGCCGACAAGGUUGGUUCUAUGUUAAGGCCCUGCUUCCUCACGUAAGAGGGCAUGAUUCAUAAGGUAGGUACUGAUUGCAUCUUCAUCUCUAUUUUUCAUUUGGUCUCGAUUCUUUCACUUGGUGCUACACAAGGUCAGGUCAGCUUGGAACAUCUGCCUCCCAAAUUCAGGUCAAGGAGGUCAUAAUCUCCUUCUAGAUAUCUUAGGGUUUAGAUUUAAACGAAUAGAUGUAGCCAUAUCAGUGUGCAAAGUAGAGGAAGUCGUAGUGAACAUUCAUAAGCUUGCUCUUGUGCUAGAUAAGAAAGAUUCAGAAAACUAUUAUGCAACGGUCACCAGAGCUUUACUGCUCUUUGUAUGCACUGCAAGAAUUAUUCUGCAAGGGUAGCCGGCUGCACAUUUGUUGUUUUCCCAGUCAUUUAAGAAUAUUAGUUAAAGUGGAUGGUGAUACGAUGUUUAUACCAUUUGAGGUAUCUAUUCUUUUACAAAGCAUGUGAAAAUACUUAAGGUUCUUUUAAAGAAGAGAGAUAGGGAGGGAGGGAGGAAAACUCAAUUUGUGCAACUAAAACUGACGCUUCUAUCCAAACUGGAAGUGUUGCCCACGGAAAUUCAGAACCUUCGUAGUUGUCGUUGACUUGGACCAUAGUUAUUUCAGAUUUCAGAAUUGCAUUUGUGCAGUAAUUCUCUAGAAGUCGUGUAAUACAGAUAUAUUAAUAAGAUUUUUCUUGAAUAUGCAGCAAACAAAUACUACAUCAAAGUGCUGCAGGACCAAAUUGAGGUAUGCUCCACACAGACACAGCGUCUUAAAAAAUUAUCAUUUUCCACUGCAUAAUAACAUGUUCUGUUAUUUUUUAGACAAGUACAAACUGACUAAGUAAUAAUACAGAUAAAAAGCCAUACAUUCUCAUUUUUCUUCUCUGUAUUUUUUCUUGUUCAUACCUGCAGAAAAAUUGUGGUGGUGAUGAUUGAUCUGUAUUUUUUUGAAGGGGGUCAUUGGACUCCACUGUAGCAUAGGUGAUAAUUCCUCACCCUAUAUUUGCGUGUAGUAGCCUCAAACAUCAACUUUCUUAUGAUUUUUCUCUAGUAUGUUGCUCGCUGGUUUUGACUAUUGAUUUUGGUAGACGGUGCCCAGUUUAGGACAUGAUCCAACUCUCAGUUACAUACAUGGACCUUCUCUUUCUACAUCUCUAUGGUAGUAAACUUUCUUACUUUAGAGACGGAUCAGAAGGCGUUUCUUUUGCUUUUGGGGUUGAGGAUGCACCAAACUAUGGGUACUAGACAAUAAUGCACUUUUAGAUGGUACACUGGUGCUGAUGAAUCAAUUUUUUUGUUACUGCUUUAUGCUUCUGACAGUGUGCGCUAGCUUAUCUAUUACUCCCUCCGUUUGUUUUUAUAAGACGUUCAGACAACUUGCUUUGCGCUGUUUUUGAACAGUGUCUGAAAGUCUAAAACGUCUUAUAAAAACAAACAGAGGUAGUAUAUCAGAUAAUACUAUCUCACACAUGUAGUGCAUAUUGGUUAUUUUCACUUGAUUUGGAUAAGUAAAGUGCGGCUAUAUUUUUCUUAACUAUUCCUAUUCUUUGACAAUCUUCUGCUUCGGUUUCUGUUUCUUGUUUCAGGUUCUUCAUAUCGAGUGCCUAUUAAUUAGUCACAUGUCCAUAGAUACUUUAUUAUGCCCUUUAAUGAUCUCAUCCCUGCGACUCACAUAUGAGUUAUACAUAUGCAUGGUUGUGAGAAUUAGAGGGACAGUUAGUGUUCCCUUGAAGAAAAGUGCAAGCAUGAUCUACUUUAAAUUGGAACACUUAUGUUAGAAAACAUGGUCAAUGGACUGUACAACAAAAUCAUUUUUUCAGUAAAUUGUGACAGAUCCAAAAUAACCAACCGAAAACAACAAAAUUAUUUUUUCAGUAAUUUGUAAUGCCUCAUAGACAUGUUUUCACUUAGAUUAGAACGAUCCUAUGUAAGAUAGGUUGUAAAGUAGCAGUUGUAUAUACAUAGCUACAGUGUGUUUCCUGAACAUCACAACUUCAUCUUAUGAUGUGCUCACUGUAAUCAUAUUUUUUUUGUUUCAUGUAAAGUAGUAGUAGGUUCUUUUGAUGCCAAUGAUUCAUUAUCUGAUCCCAUGAGGCACUAAUAUCAUGCUAGCUCUGUAUUGUGUUGGUGAUAUUCUCACUGUAAUUCACUCUCAACAUGCCGGUAGUUUCGAGUUUUCUUUCUUUUAUUCUCACAUGUAAUUUCUUUGUUCCAUCUUUGCUAUGAGCCAGUGCCGAUGUUCUGUUUUCCUGCGGUUGUCGCCACUGUACUUUGUUCCUUGCAUGAACAAAAGAGGAUUAAUGAAACAACAUUCGCGCUGAAGAAGAAAAAGGAUAUGUUGCCCAUCAAUUCUAUCAUACUCAAGAAUCGCCAUUCAUUUUGUGAGGUUAAAAGGAUUGUCCGCUUCCUUCCUUGCAUGUAACCACAUCAAUGGAUUGGUGUUGAACAUAACAAGGUAUAAGGCCAUCCAUACUCAUUUUUCUUAUCUGCAUUUUUAAUUGUUCAUAUCUGGAAAAAAAUUGUGCUGGUCAUGAUUGAUUUGAGUAUCAUGAUUUUGUAAAUUAGAUUCAAAUGUUAGAACCAACGCUGAUUUUGUAAUCAAUUGGUUGUGUUGUAGUGAGCUGAGGGUAUUAUACAUCUCAUGUUGCACUCUCAAAAUUUGAUUAGUAAUUUUGUCAAAUAAUAAAUAGAAGCAUUGUUAUCAUAAGUGUUGAUUGGUCAUGCAAUCACUGCAGACCUUAAAAAGAAGGGCUUGUGAAAUAUUGCUCGAGCUACAUCGACAUAUGCUAGCUAAAUAUAAGAAUGCAGAACAUAUCGAACCUCAUCUGUCCUUACUCAUAUUAUAAGUAAAAUAUGAACGUUUCGUGUCUCCAGUCGGUUCGCUAUCAAAGGAAGAUGCAUGCACACUUCGUGUCUCCAACCGGUUUAGAUCAUAGGAAACUAUGGCACAAUGUACAGCAGAAUUUUCUUGUUAUAGCUCACUGAAAAUUUUUGUUCUUGCCUACGGUAAUGCAUUUUUGGUUAAGCUAGGAAUUGUUUCAUUAUUGAAAGCUUUCAUCUGCAUAUAUGGUCGUAAGGGGCUGUGUAUUUAUUUUGCUUCAUUCAUUAUUUUGGUCUAUUUAUUUUGCACAGAAAACCAUCUUUGGUAUGCUUUGAUGGGGCUUAUUUAAUAUAGUUCAAGGAAAAUUGGAAGUAGUGGCAAACCAGCCAUGAAAAGUUUGAGAGGGCUAUGCAACCACAAGAAAUGAUGUGCUCCUGUCAUUUUGCCAUGAUCUUGUGGCCCCAUUCCA